AAGCUAAACUAUUCCUGGUAUUGGAAGCUCUGUUCCAAGGAUGGGGUACAUUGUCAUCCUGCUGUGCCACAGCAGCAACACAACCACAAACGGAGAACUGACACCGGGCCUGUGUCAAGCAACGGUGACUCGACAUGGCUAGAUGUUCUGCCAUAUAAGUCCCUCCUCUGUUGGUAGAAGUAUAGUACGCUUAUCCGGCCAUGAUAGGGGGUUUAACCAUUUUACAAGCCGAUUGCCAAAAGUGAUAACGACACAAAUACACAUCCACCAAGUUAUGUUUAUCUUUGAGACAUUGCAAUGUUAGCCUGGAAACCAGACGAAUCACGCAACCUCAUGUUUAAUUUGCUCUGCAAAUAAGGUCUGGGUCCACUCCCAUGCAAAUAUAAUUCUGCCCGUUACGGCUGACGACCAUUCUUCUGAUAUGAGGCGGGAUAAAUACAAUGACGGCGCCGAGGAGCGCCGUAGAGGCCUUUUCAACGACAACAAAGGUGGCUGCUGAUGUAGAACGUUGCAAUAUCAUCCCACGCAGACACAAAUGGGCGUUCUCGUGUGGUGAGAGUUCCCGUUUACGCAGACUGGAACACCCCCUUCUUAUUAUUCGUCGCCUUUCUCGCUGAACUGUAUUAAAAUGUCAAAGUGUACUACUCCGAAACCAUGUAAAUAGUGUUGUAAAUAAACUUCCAAAGCUUUUCAAAUCUUAUUUGGAAAAUAACUUCACAUGGUGUGUCUUUUCAUAAUUUAUUCGUUACCAGCAUUCGUAGUGUUGAUCAGCAGUGAAAUAGUCUGCUAUAAGACGUUGACGUCGCUUAGCAACCGAAGACGCUGGGGUUGACAAGUUACCGGACUACUACCCAUGCAAGUGAACGGAGCGUUCCAUGGCAUUGAGAAGACCAGUGUAAUAAAGGCCUAUAAAAUGUAUGUUUAUGGCAUAGAUUUCUCCUCAGAUUAGGCCAAUAAAGCAAUAAUAACAAAAACAAAAAAGACACAAACGCUCGAUCAAAGGCCCGACCCGACCCGGGUCGGGUCAAUCAAAACCCUCAUUGUUUAACAUGAAUUCGCUAAACAAAUAACCACUGUAGCAUAUUUAAACACAAUUAAAAUUGUGCAGAGAAUUAUUUCCAUUGGUCAUUCUCAGUGGCGGCUGGCGAUCAAACAUGUUGGUGGGGCACAGUAACAGACAGGGGGUCUGAGGUUCAUUUAAUAGAUUUGAUUUCCUAUUCAUAGCCUACAUACUGACUUGCAGGGCCUGGACAAGCUUACACUGCAUAUACAGACAUACUUCAUGGCCAUUCCACCAGCCAUUGCUAUUUGACCCAUUGUUGUUAUUCUGAUAUUGAGACAAAUCAUGAUCACUGUCCUAUAGCGUCCAUUUUUUGUGAGUCUCAAUGUCUACUUCAAAUGCAGUUAGAAAUAUGGGACAGUUGCUUCAUUUUGUUUAUGCUACAGGCCGAAAGACUAAAUUAAUAUGUAACUUACUUGCUCCUUUUAAGUAUAACAUUGCUUGGGGAGUCCAAUUCCUCCACUGAAAAGGGUGGAAAGUGCUUACAACUCUCUGCUAGUUAGCGAUCUAUGACACUGUUGUUUUUUAUUGGUCGUCAUGAAAAAUACAAAAGGGGUAACACUGUCGAUAUUUAUCAAAUAAAACAUAGGGGGUAA